rnacentral:tRNA from 1 species
GCCUACGUGGUGUAGCGUUCAGCACGCUCGACGCGUAUUCGAGAAGUCCGUGGUUCGAGUCCCGGCGAGAGCA